CUGACGUCGCCGUCUGAACUGACGUCGCCGUCUGAACUUCCGCCGCACGUUUCACACUAACUCCCCCUAGGUUUGCACAUGCCACCCACGAAGAGGCAACUUCAUGUGGGCAAGUGACUUUCCAAACAUACCCUUGCCUGGCCUAUCACUCAUCUACCCUAAAACGCUUGCCCCAAAAUCCCUUUUUUACAUAUACGGCUUUCAAGCCGGUACAAGGAGACAGUUUUGAGCCCGUCUCCUGUCUCGAGCCCGUCUCCUGUCUCGUUGCGUGGCCGUUUUUCAAGAAAUCUUUCUCUCUACAAAAAUCCCAGGCUUCGUGUUUACCUUUCCAUUGCUCACAGACACGCAUAGAAGACUCUGCGGCUGACUUUCUGAAAAGACCUCUAUGCCUCUGGGUUCCUUACUCAAUGAAUCUUUUCUGGGCCAUGAAGAGGCAAACCCUGCUGUGCCACUAAGUAAUUUUGGGAGAUGAAGAUGGGCUGGACUGGUGUACAGUUGGAUAAGAGACUAGAAUCACUUCUGGAUCAUCAAAAGGAAAGACGCUAAGAGCUAAUCACUGGAAGAAGGCCUUGGCUGAUUCCCCUGCCACCACAGUUUUACCUUGUCCGUCCUUGAUUAUACUGAAGUUCAUUGGCCAUUUUUCUACUCAUUCAUGGGGUUUCACUGGUAGCAUUUCUCACUACUUGGAGUGGCUUAUUAGCUUCAGCAACUUGGAGAUUUCACUAUAUUCUCAUCAUUCCAAAUAGUUUCAAAGUAAGUUUUUGGUCACAGAGCUCAAUUUUCUAUAGUGAAAAUUCUAUUUUUUGAUUCUUUUUUCUGAGCUGGUUACUUGUCGAUAACCAAGCACUGGUCUGAUGCCAGACUACCUCCAUUUUGAACAUUUAUUUUGCACAGAAUUUUUGCAAGACAUUUUAAAACUAACUGCAUUAGGGCCACCAGCUGUCCCUUGUUUAAUUGCUUAUUUAUAAAUACCUCCUGCCCUCAUCAAAGAGCUCUGGUAAGAUUAGAACGUAAGAUCCCCGAGGGAAAGAAUUCAUCUCCAGCAUUUAUUACAGGGUCUGGCAGCGAGCUCACAUCCAAUAAAUAUUUGUUGAGUGGCUAAAUAUUUGUUGAAUGAAUUAGUCAGACAUGAUUCCUCUUUACAGAAAACAUGCUCCAUAUCACAUUAUAAAUCACACUAGAUUUUCUCUUAUUUGGGAUGGAAU
rnacentral:lncRNA from 1 species